rnacentral:rRNA from 1 species
UACGAGGGGGGCGAGCGUUGUUCGGAAUUAUUGGGCGUAAAGGGUGCGUAGGCGGCCUGACAAGUCUGAUGUGAAAUCCCUGGGCUCAACCCAGGGCCUGCAUCGGAAACUGUCGGGCCUGAGUAUGGGAGAGGUGAGUGGAAUUCCUGGUGUAGCGGUGAAAUGCGCAGAUAUCGGGAGGAACACCGGUGGCGAAGGCGGUUCUCUGGGCCUACCUGACGCUGAG